rnacentral:rRNA from 1 species
UACAGAGGGUGCAAGCGUUAAUCGGAAUUACUGGGCGUAAAGCGCACGCAGGCGGUUUUUUAAGUCAGAUGUGAAAGCCCCGGGCUCAACCUGGGAAUUGCAUUUGAAACUGGGAAACUAGAGUGUGUGAGAGGGGGGUAGAAUUCCAAGUGUAGCGGUGAAAUGCGUAGAGAUUUGGAGGAAUACCAGUGGCGAAGGCGGCCCCCUGGCCCGAUAUUGACGCUGAGGUGCGAAAGCGUGGGGAGCAAACAGG